UCAUACAGAUCCUGGUCUACAUUUUGAACUU
rnacentral:piRNA from 1 species